AUGGACAAGAUUGCAGAAUUGCAGGAGCUGGAGAAGGGUGCUUUGGAAGUCAACACACUGGACAUGGCAGGUGGAGAGAGCAAGCUGGCUGACCAUGGUCUGGGGCUGCAUGAGCUGGAGAAGAACUCCCCUACACAUAAACAGGGUGCUUUUGAUGUCAGCACAUCGGAGUUGGGAGAUGGAGAAUGCAAGGUGGCUGAUCAUGCUCUCAUGCUGCAUGAAAACCACAAGCAAGAGAUGGAGGCUAUUCAUGCCAAGCUAAUUCAACUUGAGAGGCAACUGGAGCAAAGGGAUAAAGCCCUAGUGCUCAUCGCACGGCAGCUGAACAUGAAACUACAAGCAGGGGAGAUGCUCGCAGAGGAAGACCAUCAACGUCUUUUUGCAGUAAUGGCGUAUGUGAGAAAUAUUCUGGAUGAGGAAGGGAAAAGGAUGAAAGUUCCAUUGCUAGACCUCUUGAAAAGAGAGCAGGCCAACAGCAAAGAGCUCCAAGAGAAUCACCAAGAGUUGAUUCAGGGUUUUGAGAACAUACCGAUUAGUGGGGGUGCCGUUGUUGGAAUCAAAAGGAUGGGCCAACUUGAUGAAAAUCCUUUUCGCGCCGUAUGCAAUUUGAAAUACAGGGACAAUGAUCCAGAGGGAAAAGCUGCAAGGUUGGUCUCGUAUUGGCAGGAGAAAAUACAGAAGCCAUCAUGGCGUCCGUUUACUAAAAUUCAGGUCGAUGAAGAAGAUAAGGAGGUUAUAGAUGACAAUGAUCCAAGACUAAGCAAGCUGCGGUCUGAUUACGGCGACAGCAUCUGCAAUGCAGUGAAGGAUGGACUGAGAGAGCUCAACGAGUAUAGUUCUCGCGAGCGGCGCAUCAUGAAUGAGGUCUGGAACUUCCGCGAAGGGCGGAAGGCGACGAUGACAGAGAUGAUCACCUGCAUUUUGGAGCAGCUGGCAGUGGCGGACCCAGGAUUGCGAGGACAGGAAUUCAAGAUUCCCACAAAAAAAUAUUCAAAUUCAAUAUAA
rnacentral:rRNA from 1 species